UUGGUUUUUUUCUUUUGGAAAAUACGCAAGUCAAACUCAUAAAUAGUAUGGAAAUGCAUCAGCCCAAGCGAUGCUAGAAAGUCCUUGACUCAAUCUUGUCCAGAGAUGUAGUGUCGUGGAAUGCGAUGAUCGCAGGAUAUACAUCACAAAGAUGCUAGAUCAUUUGCUUAUUUGGAUUUGUAUGCCACCUCAUGACUAUAAAUUAAAGAUUGUUUUAGUAUCUAUAAUAAUAAGAAUGAAGGGCCCAAACCCC
rnacentral:lncRNA from 1 species